rnacentral:rRNA from 1 species
GGGUUGUGAGGUUAAGCGACUAAGCGUACACGGUGGAUGCCCUGGCAGUCAGAGGCGAUGAAGGACGUGCUAAUCUGCGAUAAGCGCCGGUAAGGUGAUAUGAACCGUUAUAACCGGCGAUUUCCGAAUGGGGAAACCCAGUGUGAUUCGUCACACUAUCAUUAACUGAAUCCAUAGGUUAAUGAGGCGAACCGGGGGAACUGAAACAUCUAAGUACCCCGAGGAAAAGAAAUCAACCGAGAUUCCCCCAGUAGCGGCGAGCGAACGGGGAGGAGCCCAGAGCCUGAAUCAGCAUGUGUGUUAGUGGAAGCGUCUGGAAAGGCGCGCGAUACAGGGUGACAGCCCCGUACACAAAAGCGCAUGUGCUGUGAGCUCGAUGAGUAGGGCGGGACACGUGGUAUCCUGUCUGAAUAUGGGGGGACCAUCCUCCAAGGCUAAAUACUCCUGACUGACCGAUAGUGAACCAGUACCGUGAGGGAAAGGCGAAAAGAACCCCGGCGAGGGGAGUGAAAAAGAACCUGAAACCGUGUACGUACAAGCAGUGGGAGCACAGGUU